CUUCAGUGGAAAUUUUCCCAGUUCCCAGAGAGAUGACAACCCUAGUCUUAAUUUAUUACUUCAACGUGAUGAGGUGCUGUGAAGAUAACGGAAGAAAAUCAGUUAUUAGAAGAGAUGGUAAACUGCAAUUUUAUGCACCCUAUCGGAUCGGUUCCGGUUUGUGGUGGCCGCUUAAGAGAUUUGGUGCGUCACCGAGCAGCGCAGCACUAGACAGAAGGAGCGCGUCGAUCAGACCUCAUAUUCGCCAGAUGGCAGCAAAGUAAGCAGUUCGCCCGUAAAAGACUGUGACCGAACGCUCGUACUUGGACAUGCUGUAGCUGUACGGACUGCCCCAAUUGCCACCUCAAACUAUCCUCCAACAAGAUGGACGCCGCCACAUUUCUGCCACCAUUUUGGGAAUCACCUGAACAGAGAGAUGGCCGGGAGAUGGAUCGGCAGGUGGACCAAUCGCUUGGCCUCCUAGUUCGCCAGAUUUAACCUCAUUGAAUUAUUUCUUCUGGAAUUAUGUGAAGACCAUUUUUUCCCAGGUUAAGAUCUACGAUCUUCAACAUCUGAAAACCCACAUAAGGAAAUCUGUGGCUACGGCAACAGCAAACACGAUUCAAGGAACGUGGAAAGAGGUCGAAUAUCGUCUGAAUAUUCGUCGUGUCACAAGAGAGCGCACACUGAAAUUUACUGAGAGAAUUAUACACUCAGAAAAAAAAAUAGUAUUUUCCCUUUGUAAUUGUGUAACCC